rnacentral:tRNA from 1 species
GUCUGGUAGUUUGGAGAUGGUUAUUAAAUCCCAUCCCAAGGGGCAGGUCGGAGGUUCGAAUCCUCUCCGGGACGCCA